AUGAGCGGAAUCAAUUGUUCCAAUUUCUGGCCUUGCACUGACAAUCUAGUGGACCAUGGACUAAACGGCCACUGCUUGAAAGGACUAUGCUAUGUCCAGGGGACCGCCACCCUCCACAAGGAACAUCUUGCGCCUAUGGGUUGCUAUAACUAUCCAAGAAGACACUCGAAAAAGGAAGAUAAACAAACCUACCCGGUGGACAGCCGAGCUACAAGUCCUACGACACAGGAGCGGGAUUCUCUAAAAAACCAAGGUAUUAGGUGGCCAAGAGGGCCCACUUGGAGACUUGGGAUCUCACCAGGAAAUGUGAAGGUUGUUUAA
rnacentral:rRNA from 1 species